rnacentral:rRNA from 1 species
UACGGGGGGGCAAGCGUUGUUCGGAAUUACUGGGCGUAAAGGGCUCGUAGGUGCCAGCUAACUAGUACACGUGAAAUCCCCAGGCUUAACCUGGGAACUGCGUGUGAUACUGGAUGGCUUGAAUUCGGGAGAGGGAUGCAGAAUUCCAGGUGUAGCGGUGAAAUGCGUAGAUAUCUGGAGGAAUACCGGUGGCGAAGGCGGCAUCCUGGACCGACAUUGACGCUGAUGAGCGAAAGCUAGGGGAGCAAACGGG